AAGUCCGCAGUCGAGGGACGGUUGCUUGCAACCCGCUGACGACCGGCGCACGGGUGCGUAACGCGUAUGCAACCUACCUUCUACGGGGGAUAGUCAAUAAAAUGUUGAAUAMMCCCCAUACGAUCAUGAAUUGGCAUCAAUUUAUGAGGAAAGUUCCGGCGGUAAAGAGGGCAUGCUCCUAUUAGUUAGUGGGGGUAACGGCUCACCAAGACAUCGAUAGGUGGGGUCCUGAAGGGAGACCCCCCACUGGUACUGAACCGGMCCAACCCUACGGGAGGCAGCAGUGAGGAAUAUUGGACAGGAGGCAACUCUGAUCCAGCCAUGCCGCGUGCAAGACGGCCCUAUGGGUUGUAAACUGUUUUAUACAGGAAAAACGCCUCCUCGUGGGGGGUUUGACGGUACUGUACAAUAAGGAUCGGCUAACUCCGUGCCAGCAGCCGCGGUAAUACGGAGGAUCCAAGCGUUAUCCGGAAUCAUUGGGUUUAAAGGGUCCGUAGGCGGUUUAAUAAGUCAGAGGUGAAAUCCUACAGCUCAACUGUAGAAUUGCCUUUGAUACUGUUAGACUUGAGUUAUUGUGAAGUAGUUAGAAUGUGUAGUGUAGCGGUGAAAUGCAUAGAUAUUACACAGAAUACCGAUUGCGAAAGCAGAUUACUAACAAUACACUGACGCUGAGGGACGAAAGCGUGGGUAGCGAACAGGAUUAGAUACCCUGGUAGUCCACGCCGUAAACGAUGGAUACUACUGUUCGACCAACAUUGGUUGGUUGAGUGGCUAAGCGAAAGGAUAAGUAUCCCACCUGGGGAGUACGCUCGCAAGAGUGAAACUCAAAGGAAUUGACGGGGCCCGCACAAGCGGUGGAGCUGUGGUUUAAUUCGAUGAUACGCGAGGAACCUUACCUUAAAUGUAGUUGCAUAGAUCAGAGAUGGUCUUUUCUUCGGACUACUUACGCUGCAUGGUCGUCAGCUCGUUGAGUGUCAAGUCUAGAGCGCCACCCUGUCGUAUGCCAUCAGUAUUGGACUCUAGGUCAGUGAAGGGGAAAACGUACGUUUGG
rnacentral:rRNA from 1 species